AGUCAGAGUCAUGAUCCUUUCUGUCCUUGGUGCAGAGUGCAGCAGAAGCUUUUUCCUGUGGUGCUGCAGGCACUGGAGACCACGGGCGGAAUUAGUCACUGGCAGGCAAAUGUAGCCUGAGAGACUGCUGUGGCACCUGAGCCAUAUGAGUGAGUACAGAUUAGGACAGGGAGAAGGAAAACUACAAAAGCUGGUGGAAAUUCCUGCAGUGGAGAAAGUCCUGUGGUGCACUAAUCUUUGAAUUCUCACAUGCACUGGACUUUGGCUCUCCAGAACUAUGAAAAACAUUAAUUUAAGAAAAUGGAACGGGGACUACAGAAGGGAAAAACCUUCAGAAACAUAUAUGUGUGCAACCCUCUGUACUACCAAUUGGGGGGCAGAGCUUUCCUCCUUGUGUAAGUGCAGGUGCUCCCUUGAGGUCUCAUGAAUACUCUGUACUGGGGGUGUCAAACUCAUUUUCACCGGGGUGGGGGAUCACAUCCGUCUCUCAGUUCCCUUCAAAAGGCCGAAUGUAAUUUUAAGACUGUAUAUAUGUGACUACUCCUACAUCUAUACAGACCUAAAAUUACAUUCGGUCCUUUGAAGGCAAACCCUGGUAUAGUGCAUCCAUGUAACACCAUAGGAUCAAGAUGUGCUGAAAUUUGAGUGUGAGUUUCGUGUUCUUAUUCCUUCAGACAAGCAUGUAUUUAUUCAGGUUGCUUUAAAUUACUUUUCAUUGAUCCAGAUAUUUCAUACUGAGGCUAAAUUAUUAAAAGGUCACAUACAGUAAUUAAAAAUAUAUUCUCCUCAUGAAAACCGAAGCUUAUUAACUUUUAAUUAAGUCAGAAAAAAAUUUGAAAAGCAUAAUUUUCUUAUUCAGCAGCUUUUCCUUGACUAUACUUUGCUUUAGGCACACACACUCAAGGAUACAGUAGUGCAUUUGUUUGCUUUUUAAAACUAUUAUUAAACGCAUUACAAAUUCUUUAUCCCUGUGUGCAAUCAGCAGAGCUUUCACCUUGUUCAUCUUUGCAAAGUCUUCAUUGCUGGUGAUGAUAUUUGAGCCUGGAGGAAUUGUGGUAAGAAAUUUUAAAACUGCUGUGAUGUAGAGAUCAAAAAAAUGUGUGUAUAUGGGUCAGGAUAGGUCAGUAUAAAGAUUUUAAUAGUGGAAUAACUAUAGUAUAUGUGUUUAAAGCAAGUCCUCAGGUAUUUAAUGUGCCAUGUAAUUUUUUUGUUUAGCUGUAUACAACUUGUCUCCCAGAA